rnacentral:rRNA from 1 species
CCUACGGGGCGCAGCAGUGGGGAAUAUUGGACAAUGGGCGAAAGCCUGAUCCAGCCAUGCCGCGUGUGUGAAGAAGGCCUUCGGGUUGUAAAGCACUUUCAGUGGGGAAGAAAGCCUUGGGGCUAAUACCCUCGAGGAAGGACAUCACCCACAGAAGAAGCACCGGCUAACUCCGUGCCAGCAGCCGCGGUAAUACGGAGGGUGCGAGCGGUUAAUCGGAAUUACUGGGCGUAAAGCGCGCGUAGGCGGUCUGAUAAGCCGGUUGUGAAAGCCCCGGGCUCAACCUGGGAACGGCAUCCGGAACGGUCAGGCUAGAGUGCAGGAGAGGAGGGUAGAAUUCCCGGUGUAGCGGUGAAAUGCGUAGAGAUCGGGAGGAAUACCAGUGGCGAAGGCGGCCUUCUGGACUGACACUGACGCUGAGGUGCGAAAGCGUGGGUAGCAAACAGGAUUAGAUACCCCAGUAGU